GAUAAAGUCUGGAAAUGUCCUCAAAGUUGCUAUGAAACAUGAUUUUUAAAGUUAUUGUAAAUAAAGGCUGUGUAAUGACUCGACUGGAUUUAAGAUUGGUGUUCAGAAUAUCCCUAUAGCACAAACAUAGCUAGGAGCUAGGUGUUCUGCCCAAGAGUUCAACGUGACCUGAAAAGAUCAACACGAGUGGACAUCGUCUGGGACCAGUAUCGUGCUUUGACAAUCAAAGGAGGAACAAGAGAAAAGCGAGGAUCAGGCACCCGACAACGCAUCUCUGGCACUGCCAAAGUCCCAAGAGAUUGGCAGGCAUUUCUGGCAAAUGAGGAUAAUAAGACAGAACUGUUUUCAUUCCUGUCAACUGCGCUUGUAACAAAUGGACAGUUCCCAGAUGACAAAGAUGUCUACAUAACAGCAGAUGAUUGCGUCCACCAUGUUGGAAACAGUCCUCCAAUGGAUCGCUGCAACCACGAGGAAGCUGACACUCGUGUCCUAGUGCAUCUUCUCCAUGCCCUCCAAACAGCAUCAGUUGGGAUGGUCUAUACUGGAGACACAGAUGUUGUCGUAAUCCUGCUGAGUAAUUUCCAUCAUAUCAAGGCUUUGAAUGCAACUGCAGAAAUCUGGAUCUGCUUCAAAACUGGAAAGACAUCAAGAAUGAUCUCCCUGAACACUCUCGCCACAAAACUGGGCACAGAAACAUGUAAAGCCAUGGCUCUCUUCCACGCAUUCACGGGAUCAGACAGCACAUCUUCUUUCAAGUUCAGGGGUAAGCGAUCCUGCUGCAAAUUGAUGCACGAAGUUCCACACUUGACAGAGGAGUUCGCAACCAUCAUUGAGACUCCAUUCCAAACCUCUCCAAGGCUGAAAGAAGUUGCAGUAAACUUUGUCUGUAGGCUGUACUCCAGUGAAUCAAAUGAGGAAAAUGAUGUUGAUCUUCUUCGAAUGAGGCUAUUCUCACAGAAGACGAGGGAUGUUGAAAGAAUCCCCCCAACAAUGGAUGCUUUGGAUCUACAUCUCAAAAGGAGUGUCUUCCAAGCAAGCAUCUGGACAACAGCCCACAUGUCUAUAAUGCCUGACAACAACCCCACUGACCAUGGGUGGAAAGAAGAGGACAGCAAACUUCUUCCCAUUUGGACUACGAUACCACUUGCCAAAGACGUAUUACAACUAGAUGUGAAGUGUGGUUGUACAAGUACUUGUACAAGUCGACCUGCCAGUUCUCGGUGCAAGUGCAUGAAGGCGAAGUUAAAGUGCACACGUCUGUGCAAGUGCACAUGUCAGAACUUCUAAGACUGACAUAGAAUAAAUCAAAGAAGUAAAUUAUAGUUAUCAUUGUAGAGUGAAGUUCUCAGAAUAAAUGUUAGCCCUAUGGUCCUCUGUUCAUUUUUUGAAUGCCAGAAAAACUAUUGUUUAUCUUCUUAUUGUUAUUGACUUACUUUCUUCCAGAUAUAAAGUUCUUUUGUGAAAAUUUCUUGUGAAUAAAAUGAUGGCUUGUUGGCUUGUUGGCUU